rnacentral:rRNA from 1 species
UCCGUAGGCGGGCAGCUCAGUCAGUGGUGAAAGUUUGCAGCUCAACUGUAAAAUUGCCAUUGAUACUGGUUGUCUUGAAUUAAUGUGAAGUGGUUAGAAUAUGUAGUGUAGCGGUGAAAUGCAUAGAUAUUACAUGGAAUACCAAUUGCGAAGGCAGAUCACUAACAUUAUAUUGACGCUGAUGGACGAAAGCGUGGGGAGCGAACAGGAUUAGAUACCCUGGUAGUCC